rnacentral:rRNA from 1 species
GAUGAACGCUAGCGGCAGGCUUAAUACAUGCAAGUCGUGGGGCAGCAUGAGUGUAGCAAUACAUUUGAUGGCGACCGGCAAACGGGUGCGGAACACGUACACAACCUUCCUAUAAGUGGGGAAUAGCCCAGAGAAAUUUGGAUUAAUACCCCGUAACAUAAUGAUGUGGCAUCACAUUAUUAUUAUAGCUUCGGCGCUUAUUGAUGGCUGUGCGGCUGAUUAGGUAGUUGGCGGGGUAACGGCCCACCAAGCCUGCGAUCAGUAACUGGUGUGAGAGCACGACCAGUCACACGGGCACUGAGACACGGGCCCGACUCCUACGGGAGGCAGCAGUAAGGAAUAUUGGUCAAUGGACGAAAGUCUGAACCAGCCAUGCCGCGUGGAGGAUGAAGGUCCUCUGGAUUGUAAACUUCUUUUAUAUGGGACGAAAAAGGGUCUUUCUAGAUCAACUGACGGUACCAUGUGAAUAAGCACCGGCUAACUCCGUGCCAGCCGCCGCAGUAAAAC